GCCCAUUGCGCGCUCGCCAAAGCGAAGGGGGAGCCUCCGGAUCUCGCUCGGCCGCCCCUCGUGCCUUCCCCAUCCACUCGGCUCGCUUCUCCUCCGGAGGCCCCGCCCUUCAUUUCUGCCCUUAAAUUCACAAUGGAUGAAGACAAGGAGGAUGUGGAAGAAGAGAGCCCGGAGGGGAUUCCUGCCUCAGGCACAGCAAUCCUGGUUCAAGAUGGAAGUGUGCUGGAUGUGGAUGGAUCACUGAUGAAAGAUAAGGAGAGAGCCUCAAGGACACGAAGGAAAAGGCUGAGAACUAGAGCGAAGAAAGGCAUAGGAGUGACCCAAGGCAUUCAGGUGCAGUCAUAAUUGAUCGCAGAGGAC